CCUACGGGAGGCAGCAGUGGGGAAUAUUGCGCAAUGGGCGAAAGCCUGACGCAGCGACGCCGCGUGAGGGAUGAAGGUCUUCGGAUCGUAAACCUCUGUCAGCAGGGAAGAACGGUCACUGUGCUAAUCAGCAGUGAAUUGACGGUACCUGCAAAGGAAGCACCGGCUAACUCCGUGCCAGCAGCCGCGGUAAUACGGAGGGUGCGAGCGUUAAUUGGAAUUACUGGGCGUAAAGCGCUCGUAGGCGGUAUGUCAAGUCAAGGGUGAAAUCCCCGCGCUUAACGUGGGAACUGCCUUUGAAACCGGGAAACCUGAGUGUGUGAGAGGAUAGUGGAAGUCCAGGUGUAGGAGUGAAAUCCAUAGAUAUCUGGAGGAACAUCAGUGGCGAAGGCGACUAUCUGGCACAUAACUGACGCUGAGGAGCGAAAGCGUGGGUAGCAAACAGGAUUAGAUACCCUUGUAGUC
rnacentral:rRNA from 1 species